AGGAAGAGGAAAGUUGGGAUUGGAGAAGGACAAAAGAAAAAGAAGAAAAUGACAUUCUUGAUUGGGGAGAAGUUGAUGAAAACACAUAUGUCUCUAGUGAUGAAGAAAGUAAAGGUGAAAAUUCACAAGAAGGAGAAUCUGAUCACAGUCACAUCUCCAGCGAUGCUACAACACCUACACUUCCUGAAAGAAGAGUCACUCGAGCCCCAUCAUAUCUUCAAGACUAUACAAGCGGAGAAUGACUCGAAGAAGAAGAAGAAGAGGUACAAAAUUUAGCUUUGUUUGUAGCCUCUGGUGAUCCUAUUUAUUAUGAAGAAGCAGUGAAAAUAAA
rnacentral:lncRNA from 1 species